rnacentral:rRNA from 1 species
AUGCAAGUCGAGCGGACAGAAGGGAGCUUGCUCCCGGAUGUUAGCGGCGGACGGGUGAGUAACACGUGGGUAACCUGCCUGUAAGACUGGGAUAACUCCGGGAAACCGGAGCUAAUACCGGAUAGUUCCUUGAACCGCAUGGUUCAAGGAUGAAAGACGGUUUCGGCUGUCACUUACAGAUGGACCCGCGGCGCAUUAGCUAGUUGGGGAGGUAACGGCUCACCAAGGCGACGAUGCGUAGCCGACCUGAGAGGGUGAUCGGCCACACUGGAACUGAGAACGGCCCAUACUCCUACGGGAGGCUUCAGGAGGGACUCUUAGAG